GCCUACUCUCACAUAUCCUACAAAACAUAAAUGACAAAAUUACUUAAAGAUAAAUUACUCUCAAUCUACAAAACACUAGUACUGAAAAGGAAUCACUCAUAUCCUAAAGUAGUGAAUAUUCACGUACCUUGUGCAUUAUGGUUUUACAAGUUAAGUAAUUUAAAAUACUUUCCCGAAAUCUACGUGAGCUGCUACCGUAUAGUUCAGAACCCACUACUAGUUGUAGCAACAACUUUAGAAAAUAUGGUGGCAGAGGCUACAUACCAUCCGCGCUAGAUAAUUGCUGGUUUUCAGUAAAAUUUAUAAAUUAAAUCCUGUAGAGUUCUACAGUGCAAGACCUCAGAGGAUAAGCCCUGAAGUCAGAAGCUAACUUACUAUAAAUAUGGGAAAUAGGCCUAAAAACAGCCCUCUUCACUACGUCACUGUAAGUAUACUUAAUCCCCGCCUAAAUUGCCCCCCACACCUGAAAUCUUGGAAUAGUUAUAAAUCUUUUUAUAUUAUGUAAAAAUAAGUAUUCAAAAACAUUAAUAUGUAAUAAACUACUCACGCCCCUAUUUCUCUUACAAAUUCUUACAAAGGAACUCGGCAAAUCUUAUUUCGACUGUUUAACAAAAACAUUGCUUCUUGAGCCCCUCUAUAAGAAGUAAUUCCUGCCCAGUGACUUAUUUAACGGCCGCGGUAUCCUAACCGUGCAAAGGUAGCAUAAUCACUUGCCCAUUAAUUGUGGGCUAGAAUGAAAGGACUAACGAAAUAAAGACUGUCUCUUUAAGCCGCCUAAAAAUUAACCUCUAACUGAAGAGUGCUAGAUCUACUCGAAGGACAAGAAGACCCUAUAGAGCUUUAUUUAAGUAAAAAAUAGUUUUUUCUAAAAUUCGGUUGGGGCGACCCGGGAAUAAGCAAUCAUCCCUGAUAGAAAGAUAAAUACAUCAUAUUAUUGACCCUUAAUAAAGAUCAUAAAAUCAAGCUACCUUAGGGAUAACAGGCUAAUCUCACUAGAGAGUCCUUAUUAAUAGUGGGGUUUGGCACCUCGAUGUUGGCUUAGGGAAUCCAUGCGACGCAAAAGUCGCUUAUAGAUGGUUUGUUCAACCAAUAACACCCUACAUGAGCUGAGUUCAGACCGGCGUGAGCCAGGUUAGUUUCUAUCCUCGAUUUUUUUCCUAUUUAUAGUACGAAAGGACCUAAAUGGGGCAAUACUUGCAGCAAAAGAAUAAAUAUAAGUUAAAAUAAAUUAACAUAAAAAUAAACUAUUA
rnacentral:rRNA from 1 species